UCCAAGUCAUGGAUAGGAUAAAGAUUAGU
rnacentral:piRNA from 1 species